UUACGCACACACAUCACUAACACUGACAGUUAACAUGGGCUACAUUUAAUAUGUUCCUUGCAUCAUUAUCUCCCAAGGACAGCAACCCACUUUGGUUUCUGAAAAUUGCAGUGCCUUAGCAUACUUUCAAUACAUUUAGCAGCGGUUAUCAUUCGGUAUUCAUUCUAUACAGAAAAAUAAACAGUCCGACUCGAAACUAAAAAGAAAUGCCACUUGACCCAAAUUUGAACCGGAAGCUGCUUAUCGGCCCUUGUAUCAUAGCCGUGGGUCUGGUCUUUCACACCAUUGGUCAAGCUACGCCUUACUGGACAAGUGUAACACUUCCUGGCUUCGAUUUCACACAUAACCUCGGGUUGUGGGAGGUCUGUGUUCCUAAAGGUUGUGUAAGGAUACACGACAUGGACAUCUUGUCCCGUACCUACCAUGUCUGCCGAGCUUUCGCCAUCAUGGGAGUUCUGUCCGGUGCUGCAGCGGUUCUCGCGAUAUUUCUCUACUUGUUUCAAGCCAAGCUCAUCUACGCCACCGUCUCGAAAGAUUUAGGAGGCCUGUCGGGUUUGUUGAUCGCUAUGUGUGUGAUUUUAUGGGCUGCUUACAAACAUAAUCACUGUGAGGAUAAAUCGUGUUCGUAC